rnacentral:rRNA from 1 species
UACAGAGACUGCAAGCGUUAUUCGGAUUCACUGGGCGUAAAGGGUGCGCAGGCGGCCGAGUGUGUGAGGCGUGAAAGCCCGGGGCUUAACCCCGGAAUUGCACCUCAAACUACACGGCUAGAGCAUUGGAGAGGGUAGCAGAAUUCAUGGUGUAGCAGUGAAAUGCGUAGAUAUCAUGAGGAAUACCAGAGGCGAAGGCGGCUACCUGGACAAUUGCUGACGCUCAGGCACGAAAGCGUGGGGAGCAAAGGG